CCAAAAAAAACACAUAAAAAACAAACAACAACAACAACAAACGAAACCUCUAAUCACAGGUCAGUUUUACUGUUUCUCAGGUCCAGACUCGUUCUGUGCUGUUGGCAGGGUAUCCUGCAGUGGCCACUCCUGUCUUACUAACAGACCCUGAUUUUGUCCACAGGAUCAACACACCCAGCUAAAACAGCUCAACUUCCUCAUCACACAACACAGUUCUGGCCAGUUAGACACACGUCCCCGGAAAGGGCAUCUCCAGGAGAAUAAAAAGGCCAAGCCACUUUUUGAAGAAAGUCUUUGUCCCUACCCCCUUUUUCUACCUGGAAGUCAGACUCAGGCCUGGAGUGUAGCGGCCGCCUUGGUACCUGGAAGCAACAAUCAUGGCCGGGAGACCUUACACCUGGCAUGGUAGAGCAGACGGAGGAGGGGCCGCCUGGUGAAUAGCCUGGCCAACAGCCCCAAACUGCUACCCCUUAAAUUCUGGAUUUCAGGUGACUGCUGUAACUUGAAGCAAGAAAAGUGAAACUACAGAAAAGGGAGGACCACUGGACGGCUGCUUUCAUUCUACGCCCACUUUUUAGAGUGCAUUCCUACAAUAAGCACCCUAAUAAUGUAAACCAGGGGCCAAGGGAUGCACCUUCCACUCUACUUCCUUCCCCAGAAAAGACCACCUUGGUAAAUACAGAAUGGCAAACGGUUAAGUGAAACACUGUAUAGCUUCUGGCCCUAUACUUAGUAUUUCUUAACAUUUACACAGCAUUUUCACAUUUCCAAAGCAGAGUACCAACAUUUAUUAAUCCUCACAACACCCCUGUGAGGUAGGUCAGUAUGUCCUUUAGAGUCGAGAACUGAGGCAGAGGUCAAGCAAACCUGCCCUGGGCCACAGAGCAGCAGAUGAAGGGCCUAGACCUGGAUCCAGAAGCUAGGGCUCUCGGUCCAGCAUUCAUCCACUGGUGGACAUCACAUGGGCUUAUUUUUACCAGCGAAGGUUACGUGAAGGACAAAACGCACUCAGCCAGCAACGGAAACUCAACAGUUCAAACAGCACUGGGGAACAUGUCAGUUAAAGAGACGAAACGCUGACCAGCUCAUGAAUGAGGCAAGACAACAUGCGGCUGAGGAAGUGUGGAAUCAUCACGACUGGGGAUUAGACCAAGAACGGGCGCUCAGGAGGGUUCAGGAAAAUGUAAACAAACUAGGAACCCAUCCAAGGGGUGACAGGCCCAAAUGCCUACGGUCU
rnacentral:lncRNA from 1 species